rnacentral:lncRNA from 1 species
GUUCAAAGUGAGAGUUUCCAAUUUCCAUCAUCACUGUACGUUUUAUUAUUGUAGUCCAUAUUAAAAUGUUAAACUAGCCUUAGGCUUUGUAGCCAUCACUGGCAUUAUUAGGUGUAUUGUCGUGUGGCAUAUGCUUUAUCUUUGCCGCAGCUUGUUUGGACUGGAAAACUGAGUUCAGUUUAACGAUAGUGUUUAAUGAGCCUCAGAACUGAUUGGUUUUUAUGCUAUGUAACCACAGGUUUUUAUCGUUUGGUUAGAAGAGAGUGAUACUCAUAGCAAAUCUAAUGAAAUUUGGCAUCUAUAACUUUUUAGCUAAACAUUUUAUGUCGCAUAUGUUGCAGGCACCAAAAUGCCAAACGGUCCACUGUCAUUAAACAACCAUUUUAAUUGGCCACCUCAAAGUUUUCCUUCACCAAACUCACUGUGGGAACAGUCAGCUGUGCAAUUUAGUGGAAAUAUUCAAAAUAUAAGAGUUUAAAAGAAAGUUUGACUCCAAAAGUAGAUGAAAAUUUCUGAAUACUGAAAAUGCCGCUUUUGUAAAACGCUAAUGUUUUGGUUUAGAACCAAUUUCAUCCCCGUCCUUGUGAAUAAUAUUCCUUGGCUUUCAAUCCAUAUGAUUCAUAAUUAUUCGCAUGUAGCGUUUCUUGUUUCUAUUCAGUGAAUAAAGUGCGGAUUAAAAUGACUCAUUCAAAAUUUCCUCCAGUUUAUUGCCUGUUAAAUGUCGCUAUCAAACUCUAAGGAUUCAAAGUGGGAUGAGAGCAGGAACACGAUCCCUGACAUGCUAACAAAACCUUAUUUUAGACAUUUUUUUAUUUAAUUUUUUUAAUUAUCUAAACUUGUCAAGCUUCUUGCAAGAAUUAGCCGUGAUUAAAAUCCCCUGCAAUUUCAUACUUUGUUCAACCACGAUUGUCACAUUAAAACACUGUUUGGCAAUUACUGCCUCUUUCACCGGGGAAUUAUACUUGCAUUUCAUUAAAAUAAGAGCUGCAGGAAUAAUUGUGUCUCUUUUUUUUCCUCAUUUCCUCUGCUUCCUUGUGCUUCUUUCCAUAUCUCAGAGACGCUGGAGCAGAGGAACAAACGUGCUGAUGAUAAAUGAAAUUUGUUUGAAAUUACAAAGAAAGAGGCGCAUCAAGCAUCAUCAAGGGGAUUCCACAUCAGCCACAGGUUUCACUAAUUGAAGACAGACAUUCAUUUCGCUACAAAGGCUAAAUUUGAAACCCGGAGCUCAGACUUUCCCUGAUUACUGUCGUGUCGCGCUGACAGAUAGACUCGGAGUUCAUUCGCUCCACUGAGGAUGGCUGUAUAAACCCAACAGGCCUUUAGGAACAACAGGAUUUAACGCAAGGGGCGACCACACAAUUCCUUGCUCUCAUCUGGGGAUCAAUAUAUACAGACGCCCCCUGCUUCAUCACUAAUGGGCAUGAAGAUGUGGGAGAGAGUCACACUGCUAAGCAAACCUGCAUCCUGACAUAUUUGUUCACGGGUUUAAGCCAGUGAUGUCUUUUAAAAAGAAAAAAAAAAGGAAAAAAAAACUUCUAAAAAUGUAAUUCAAAACAAAUAUUCAUGUUAGUUUCAUAUUGCUUUAAAAGGUAAAUAUAUUCAUAUCUUCUUAAAAUAUAUAAACAAACAAACAUACAAAUACAUUUUUGUCCCUUUGGCCUAAAAUGAAGAGAGAAUGGGAUCCAAAUGUUAAGAAAUUAAUAACUUAAUAUUAACAUAAUAAAAUAUAGUAAUUUUUGUUGUGCAACUAUCAAAAC